AUAAUAAUUGAAUAAUUUAACGAUUUCCCUUUCAUAUUUGAUAUUGAUUAGCUCACCAAUCAAUACGUAAUAGAACUCUCUUCGCUUUUAUGAUUGAUAUAUAAAAUAAUUGAAUUAGGAAAUCCUCUAUUUACUGAAUAAUAACUUUUUUGUUGACAAAAGAAUAAAGAUCAUUUCUAUUCCAAGGUGGGGAGUUUUAUUUUCCCCAUCGACCUAU
rnacentral:sRNA from 1 species